rnacentral:rRNA from 1 species
UACGAGUGCUCCAGGCGUUAUCCGGAAUCAUUGGGCGUAAAGGGUGUGUAGGUGGUUAUGUUAGUCUUGCGUAAAAUUCUUCGGCUUAACCGGGGGCUCGCGUGGGAAACGGCAUGACUUGAGGAUGGGAGAGGUAUAGGGAACUCAUAGUGUAGGGGUGAAAUCCGUUGAUAUUAUGGGGAACGCCAAAUGCGAAGGCACUAUACUGGCCCACUCCUGACACUGAAACACGAAAGCGUGGGUAGCGAAUGGG